UCCUACGGGAGGCAGCAGUGGGGAAUAUUGCACAAUGGGGGAAACCCUGAUGCAGCGACGCCGCGUGAAGGACGAAGUAUUUCGGUACGUAAACUUCUAUCAGCAGGGAAGAAAAUGACGGUACCUGACUAAGAAGCCCCGGCUAAAUACGUGCCAGCAGCCGCGGUAAUACGUAUGGGGCAAGCGUUAUCCGGAGUUACUGGGUGUAAAGGGAGCGUAGGCGGCCUGGCAAGCCUGAUGUGAAAUACCGGGGCCCAACCCCGGGGCUGCAUUGGGAACUGCCAGGCUGGAGUGCCGGAGAGGCA
rnacentral:rRNA from 1 species